rnacentral:misc_RNA from 1 species
GAUGAAGAACGUAGCGAAAUGCGAUAAGUAAUGUGAAUUGCAGAAUUCAGUGAAUCAUCGAAUCUUUGAACGCACAUUGCGCCCGCCAGUAUUCUGGCGGGCAUGCCUGUCUGAGCGUCAUUUCAACCCUCAUGCCCCUAGGGCGUGGUGUUGGGGAUCGGCCAAGGCCCGCGAGGGACGGCCGGCCCCUAAAUCUAGUGGCGGACCCGUCGUGGCCUCCUCUGCGAAGUAGUGAUAUUCCGCAUCGGAGAGCGACGAGCCCCUGCCGUUAAACCCCCAACUUUCCAAGGUUGACCUCAGAUCAGGUAGGAAUACCCGCUGAACUUAAGCAUAUCAAUAAGCGGAGGA